rnacentral:miRNA from 1 species
GCUGACACAUCCCGGCCAAUCUCCAGCAGACCCUCCCUCCCAGACCCUCCCACCUCCUGGACAGCAUCCAUGUUGAAGCUGCCUUGAGGAUGCAACAAACUGCCUUCAACAUGGAUGCUGUCCAGGAGGUGGGAGGGUCUGGGAGGGAGGGUCUGCUGGAGAUUGGCCGGGAUGUGUCAG